rnacentral:rRNA from 1 species
AGAGUUUGAUCAUGGCUCAGGAUGAACGCUGGCGGUAUGCCUAACACAUGCAAGUCGAACGAUGUCUUCGGACAUAGUGGCGGACGGGUGAGUAACGCGUGAGAAUCUGCCUCUAGGAUGGGGAUAACGGUUGGAAACGACCGCUAACACCCAAUAUGCCGUAAGGUGAAAAAUUUAUUGCCUGGAGAGGAGCUCGCGUCUGAUUAGCUAGUUGGUGGGGUAAGAGCUCACCAAGGCUUCGAUCAGUAGCUGGUCUGAGAGGAUGAGCAGCCACACUGGGACUGAGACACGGCCCAGACUCCUACGGGAGGCAGCAGUGGGGAAUUUUCCGCAAUGGGCGAAAGCCUGACGGAGCAAUACCGCGUGAGGGAGGAAUGCCUUUGGGUUGUAAACCUCUUUUCUCAGGGAAGAAGAUCUGACGGUACCUGAGGAAUAAGUAUCGGCUAACUCCGUGCCAGCAGCCGCGGUAAUACGGAGGAUGCAAGCGUUAUCCGGAAUCAUUGGGCGUAAAGCGUCCGCAGGUGGUUUCCAAAGUCUGCUGUUAAAGACUGGAGCUCAACUCCGGAACGGCGGUGGAAACUUGGAAACUAGAGUUCGGUAGGGGUAGCAGGAAUUCCCAGUGUAGCGGUGAAAUGCGUAGAUAUUGGGAAGAACAUCGGUGGCGAANGCGUGCUACUGGACCGUAACUGACACUCAGGGACGAAAGCUAGGGGAGCGAAAGGGAUUAGAUACCCCUGUAGUCCUAGCUGUAAACGAUGGAAACUAGGUGUGGCUUGUAUC